ACGGCUCAGUAACACGUGGCUAACCUGCCCUCGGGACGAGAACACCCCCGGGAAACUGGGGCUAAUUCUCGAUAGGCGAAGAACUCUGGAAUGAGUCUUCACCCAAAAGACGUUUAGAUCAUGCUUUUAGGCGUCGCCCAAGGAUGGGGCCGCGACCGAUCAGGUUGUUGGUGAGGUAAUGGCUCACCAAGCCUUUAACCGGUGCGGGCCGUGGGAGCGGGAGCCCGGAGAUGGGCACUGAGACAAGGGCCCAGGCCCUACGGGGCGCAGCAGUCGCGAAAACUUUGCAAUAAGCGAAAGCUUGACAGGGCUAUCCCGAGUGCCAUCCGCUGAGGAAGGCUUUUACCCAGUCUAGUAAGCUGGGGGAAUAAGGAGAGGGCAAGUCUGGUGUCAGCCGCCGCGGUAAUACCAGCUCUCCGAGUGGUGUGGAUGUUUAUUGGGCCUAAAGCAUCCGUAGCUGGCUGAGUUAGUCCCCUGUUAAAUCCACCGAAUCAAUCGUUGGAUUGCGGGGGAUACUGUUCGGCUAGGGGACGGGAGAGGCAGACGGUAUUUUCGGGGUAGGGGUGAAAUCCUAUAAUCCCGGGAAGACCACCAGUGGCGAAGGCUGUCUGCUAGAACGCGCCCGACGGUGAGGGAUGAAAGCUGGGGUAGCGAACCGGAUUAGAUACCCGGGUAGUCCCAGCUGUAAACGAUGCAGGCUAGGUGUUUGGGCGGCCACGUGCCGCUCUAGUGCCGCAGGGAAGCUGUUAAGCCUGCCGCCUGGGGAGUACGAUCGCAAGAUUGAAACUUAAAGGAAUUGGCGGGGGAGCAC
rnacentral:rRNA from 1 species